AUAUUUUAGUUUUUAUUCUUUCUGACCAUGUGUAAAAUUUAAUAACAAAAUGGAUCUUGCAUGCUUUUAGCAAGUUGUGUAAUUAUAUAUAGUUAUAUAGUUGUCUAAUAUUGUGUUCAUUUAUAUUUAGGUGGACCCAGCAAAAUAUGAUGUAUUGUUGGGUAUUGUCAAUGAAUGUCACCACUGGUUUUUGAUGGUAAAUGCUUCUGAUUUGAAAACGGACUCUUCUUGAAACUUUCCCUAUUCUCAAGUUUUUUUAUUUUUAUUUUUUGUUAAAUCUAGGCUAUAUAGCCCAAAGGAAAGCUAUUCUUCUUGAUUCUCUUGGAGAGACUGAGGUGAAGAAAAAGAAGUGUUUGGAAACGGCAAGCGCAAUUAUGAAGAAACUUCCAGUUUCACAUUGGGUGUGUGAAACACUGCCUCACCCACAUCAAAAAGAUGGAACAUCAUGUGGUGUGUUUGCGUUGAAGGUAUGUGUCAUUGACCAUAUGAAAUAUUAAUAAAAUUUGGAUUGUUUAUUUAUAUUUGUUUUUGUCCAGUUUGCAGAAUACAUCCUUAAAGAGAAGGAAAUUGACUUCUGCAGUGCACCACAAGAAGUGAAACGACUCCGAUUAGAGAUUGCAUCAACACUUCUUGACCAAUCUGGUAUGUUUUUAUUCGUGUUUAACUUAAUUUUCAGUGCGUUUAUGCAUUUUCAGAACUUACUUAAAAUUCACAAAAGAAAUUUAAACAGCUCAUUUUAUCUCAUAGAUGAUCUAAGUGACCUGUGUCACUUUUGUGGGGAGGCAGAGACAUUUGAUGAAUCUGAGAAUGUUCUCUGGGUAACAACAUUUGUCUUUUUUUUUUUUUUUUUUUUUUUUAAAUGCAUUGUAAGCAAGUUUUAUUUAUUUAUUUUUUAAUCAUAGCAUAUGAUUGAAUAACACGAACAUUUUGCUUACAACGUUGCUUCCCUUUUUAUUAUGAGGCAGAUGUAUUAAUAAUACCCCCUCUCUAUUUUUAGAUUUCCUGUGACCAAUGUGGGCGAUGGUUCCACGUGGCCUGCGUUAAUAAUCCAGCAACAGAAGCAGACUACAAAUGCUUUUCCUGUAAAUAAAAAAAUGAAAUGUAAAAACGUUUAUUUUCUUGUUUAUCUCUUUGGAAAUUGCUAUGGUAUACCUGCUAUAAAUUUGUCUCUAAAAUGUAAACCUGUGUAUGGCAAACAUGCUGUCUAAAAUAAAAUUCCGCUUAAGGAAUAAGGAAAAACCUUCUAGAUUA